GAAGAAUCCAGUGGCUGGAGCCUCGGGACCUUGCCUCUGAGCUGGCUUGGCUGUGGGGAGGGGUCUCUGGCCUCCCCUCCCUGCUCUGUGCUUGCAGCCUCACCUCCUGGUCCCAGGCUGGGUGAGGUGGAGUCUUGAGCCUGGUGAGGAUGUGUGCAUCCGCCUGGCCACACUUCAGCUCCCCUGAUGAGAGUAAGAAGCCCCCCAGCCCAUAAUUUCCUGAAGUGAUCCUAGCUCCUCUGGAGGAGUCUCCCAUCUGUCUGCAUCAAACCUGGAAAGUGGGGGAUGGAGCAUGAGGCGGG
rnacentral:lncRNA from 1 species